CCUACGGGUGGCAGCAGUGAGGAAUAUUGGUCAAUGGACGAGAGUCUGAACCAGCCAAGUAGCGUGAAGGAUGACUGCCCUAUGGGUUGUAAACUUCUUUUAUAUGGGAAUAAAAUGUUCCACGUGUGGGAUUUUGUAUGUACCAUAUGAAUAAGGAUCGGCUAACUCCGUGCCAGCAGCCGCGGUAAUACGGAGGAUCCGAGCGUUAUCCGGAUUUAUUGGGUGUAAAGGGAGCGUAGGUGGAUUGUUAAGUCAGUUGUGAAAGUUUGCGGCUCAACCGUAAGAUUGCAGUUGAAACUGGCAGUCUUGAGUACAGGAGAGGUGGGCGGAAUUCGUGGUGUAGCGGUGAAAUGCUUAGAUAUCACGCAGAACUCCGAUUGCGAAGGCAGUUCACUGGACUGCAACUGACACUGAGGCUCGAAAGUGUGGGUAUCAAACAGGAUUAGAUACCCUUGUAGUC
rnacentral:rRNA from 1 species